rnacentral:lncRNA from 1 species
CGAGCACUCGCCCUUGCCCCCCUUAUCGCUAACUUAUCCGGUUGGGCUUAUCGACGUAGUCGCAAGUUUGCUGUGUUUCGGGAGGUAAGUAGCAAUGCCCUGUAGUCGUGUACGUGUAGACAAAUUUGGGGAAGGUUUACCCUGCUAACAAAGCUCAAAACUUUGCCCCAUCCGAACGGAUUGCGUUCAGCAAUCCGUCGCAGUUAUGGUCGCAACCAUUCUACAAAGCAACAGUGAUGCAUUUUGUACAAUGCUGAACAGCACGGGCAGAGGCCCACGAACGUUCAGGCCCACGACGCUCGGGCUUCCUCAUACAGCUGUCUCGGUUCCACAACGCACCAGGAUGCGAUAAGCCCGCACUCUGCUUGUUCUACUUUUAGUACAAAUUACAAAUGCAUCGUGGCCAAACAUAAUUUCCUUGACAACCGUAAAGGCGAUUGUGUUCCGGUGCAUGCACUGCCUGACGUGACGAGGUCACACGCCUUAACACCUGAAGGCACCUUGUAACGAGCGACUCUGAUGGGUGAGCUCUGGCACUGGGCCCGGGUAAGGCCACCGCAGCAGCUGCCGCCAACGCGGCUGUUACCACCGCAACGCGGCAGCCCCAGAAAAGCCAGCUACGUCGGGUGCUGGAGCUGUGUUUUGGGACUUGG